GGAGAGAUUUUCACACUUGGGUGAACUGCAACUUGAGCAGGGAACUCUGACUUGGCAUUAAUGGAGUCUUGUUUUCUCUCCUUUCCUCAGAGGGAGGCCUAUAUCCAUGGGAACUGAGGGUCAAGCUGACAACAGCUUCUUUCUUUCUUGUGAAUGCUAUCCACUGGAGAGGAAAUGAUACAACCAUGUCUUCCUCACUGACUCCUAUAUUUCUUCUUCACCUCGAGGUGUCCUCAUAUCUUGGAGCGACUUGAGAAACUGCACGUCUGCAAGGACAUUGCCCAGGGAAUGCCUGAAUGUUUUACCAUCCUGUGGGAGGCUUCUCUCAUGCCCCGCAUGAGAAGCUGACAGACAAGAGCUCACCCUGAUCCUGGAUUUGAACCACCGACCUUUCAGUCAGCAGUCCUGCCAGAACAAGGGUUUAACCCAUUGCACCACUGGGGGCUCCAAUUAAAUAUAAUAAAACAUAAUAUUAUAUUUUG